GGAGCGUUAGCUCAGCGGCAGAGCAGGGGACUCAUAAUCCCUCGGUCGCAGGUUCGAAUCCUGCACGCUCCACCA
rnacentral:tRNA from 1 species